rnacentral:rRNA from 3 species
UGGGGAAUAUUGCACAAUGGAGGGAACUCUGAUGCAGCGACGCCGCGUGAACGAAGAAGGCUUUCGAGUCGUAAAGUUCUUUUAUAUGGGAAGAUAAUGACGGUACCAUAAGAAAAAGCCCCGGCUAACUACGUGCCAGCAGCCGCGGUAAUACGUAGGGGGCUAGCGUUGUCCGGAAUCACUGGGCGUAAAGGGUUCGCAGGCGGAAAUGCAAGUCAGGUGUAAAAGGCAGUAGCUUAACUACUGUAAGCAUUUGAAACUGCAUAUCUUGAGAAGAGUAGAGGUAAGUGGAAUUUUUAGUGUAGCGGUGAAAUGCGUAGAUAUUAAAAGAAUACCGGUGGCGAAGGCGACUUACUGGGCUCAUUCUGACGCUGAGGAACGAAAGCGUGGGUAGCAAACAGG